CCUACGGGUGGCAGCAGUGAGGAAUAUUGGUCAAUGGACGAGAGUCUGAACCAGCCAAGUAGCGUGAAGGAUGACUGCCCUAUGGGUUGUAAACUUCUUUUAUAUGGGAAUAAAAUGUUCCACGUGUGGGAUUUUGUAUGUACCAUAUGAAUAAGGAUCGGCUAACUCCGUGCCAGCAGCCGCGGUAAUACGGAGGAUCCGAGCGUUAUCCGGAUUUAUUGGGUUUAAAGGGAGCGUAGGUGGAUCGUUAAGUCAGUUGUGAAAGUUUGCGGCUCAACCGUAAAAUUGCAGUUGAAACUGGCAGUCUUGAGUACAGUAGAGGUGGGCGGAAUUCGUGGUGUAGCGGUGAAAUGCUUAGAUAUCACGAAGAACCCCGAUUGCGAAGGCAGUUCACUGGACUGCAACUGACACUGAGGCUCGAAAGUGUGGGUAUCAAACAGGAUUAGAUACCCGGGUAGUC
rnacentral:rRNA from 1 species